CACUCACUCACUGUCUGUCACAGUGAUAAGACUCUCUUUCUCUAAACUGCUGCAGAGCUUUACACACCAUGUUCUCCAGGGUUACACUGAUGUUCACAUUUGCUGUCUUCUUUGUCUUAGCCGUCAAAGCGAGUGAGAAAAAGAACGUGAAAGCUGGAGAAAAAAUCACUCUGCUGACCGGAUUCACUGAUCUACGUGGUGAAUAUUCUGUUUGGUUGUAUUUGAAGAAUGGCACCCAAAAAGACACACUCAUCAAAUGUGAUGGAGAAGAAGUGGAGUGUGAGCUCUCUAAGAUGUCUGAAGGAAAACUGGACAGAGAAAAUGGCUCUUUGACAUUUGGGCCGCUAAACGUGGCGGACAGCGACGUUUACGUGAUACAAACCACUAAUGGAGACAACAAGUUUCUUGAAAAAGACUAUGAAGUCACUGUGUCUGAGUCUAAGACAUCCACUGGAUCCCAAAACUCUGCUCACUACCAGAGGGCUCACCUGGCAUCUAUCUUAACUGCUGCUGCCUGCGUUGUGUUGCUCUUGUGAGCAGCUCAGUACGGAAAAUCUCAGGGAAAUGUGAGCCCGCCUUCCUGCCUAUGCAACCACCCAGUGUGUGAUGCUCAGCCAUCGGAACAUUAUCUCCCCUUCCUUGUCCAUGCUUUUAUCUUCAGUCGUCUUGAUUACUGCAACAGUGUCUUUACAGGUCUAAAACAUCAGUCAGACAACUG